UACAUAGGGUGCAAACGUUGCUCGGAAUUACUGGGCGUAAAGCGCAUGUAGGCGGCUUGGUAAGUCGGACGUGAAAGCCCGGGGCUCAACCCCGGAAGCGCGCUCGAUACUGCCGAACUUGGGUCCUGAAGAGGAGAGCGGAAUUCCCGGUGUAGAGGUGAAAUUCGUAGAUAUCGGGAGGAACACCAGUGGCGAAGGCGGCUCUCUGGGCAGGUACCGACGCUGAGAUGCGAAAGCGUGGGAAGCAAACAGG
rnacentral:rRNA from 1 species